rnacentral:rRNA from 1 species
GGAUUAGAUACCCUGGUAGUCCACGCCCUAAACGAUGCACACUAGUUGUUGCGAUGCUAGUCAUUGCAGUAAUGCACUUAACAGAUUAAGUGUGCCGCCUGGGGAGUACGGUCGCAAGAUUAAAACUCAAAGGAAUAGACGGGGACCCGCACAAGCGGUGGAGCAUGUGGUUUAAUUCGAAGAUACACGAAGAACCUUACCUAGCCUUGAUAUCCUAAGAAUCCUGCAGAGAUGCGGGAGUGCUAGUUUACUAGAACUUAGAGACAGGUGCUGCACGGCUGUCGUCAGCUCGUGCCG